rnacentral:rRNA from 1 species
GAUGAACGCUGGCGGCGUGCCUAAUACAUGCAAGUCGAGCGACGCGGGGUAGGGUGAGUAACACGUGGAUAACCUCCUAUAAGACGGGGAUAACUAACGGAAACCGGAGCUAAACCGGACUCUUGUCGAUGGAUUCGCGCUUCAUUAGCUAGUUGGUGAGGUAACGGCUUACCAAGGCAACGAUGCUUAGCCGAACUGAGAGGGUGAUCGGCCACACUGGAACUGAGACACGGUCCAGACUCCUACGGGAGGCAGCAGUGGGGAAUAGUCCGCAAUGGGCGAAAGCCUGACGGAGCAAUGCCGCGUUAAUGAUGAAGGUCUUCGGAUCGUAAAACUCUGUUAUUAGGGAAGCGGUACCUAAUCAGAAAGCCACGGCUAACUACGUGCCAGCAGCCGCGGUAAUUC